GCCAACGUAGCUCAGUUGGUAGAGCAACUGAUUCGUAAUCAGUAGGUCCGCGGUUCGAUUCCGCGCGUUGGCU
rfam:Deltaproteobacteria bacterium RIFOXYD12_FTLL_56_24 rifoxyd3_full_scaffold_357, whole genome shotgun sequence.